AUAUUAUGAUGUUCCCCAACUUUUGGACUCAAUCCGAUAUCGAUUGGUCCUUGAAAUCGGACAAUUCAGGUUCGUACGAAGUUCGUUCUGAAAUGGGGUGGUUGGUGUUUUGUAUAGUUCUACAGAUUGGAUUUCACUCAAAACCCGCCAAAUGACUCCUCCCGGAAUAUUAUGAUGUUCCCGAACUUUUGGACUCAAUCCGAUAUCGAUUGGUCCUUGAAAUCGAACAAUUCAGGUUCGUACGAAGUUCGUUCUAAAAUGGGGUGGUUGGUGUAUUGUAUAGUUCUAGAGAUUGAAUUUCACUAAAAACCCACCAAAUGACAACUCCCACAAUAUUAUGAUGUUCCAUAAGUUUUGGAUUCAAUCCGAUAUCGAUCGGUCCACAAAAUCUGACAAUUCAGGUUCGUACGAAGUUCGUUCUGAAAUGGAGUGGUUGGCGUAUUGUAUAGUUCUAGGGAUUUCAUUUCACUCAAAACCCACCAAAUGCCUCCUCCCACAAUAUUUUAUUGUUCCCCAAGUUUUGGACUCAAUCCAAUAUCGAUUGGGCAAUGAAAUCGAACAAUCAGGUCGUACGAAGUUCGUUCUAAAAUGGGGUGGUUGGUGUAUUGUAUAGUUCUAGAGAUUGGAUUUCACUAAAAACCCACCAAAUGACUCCUCCCACAAUAUUAUGAUGUUGCCCAAGUUUUGGACUCAAUCCGAUAUCGAUCGGUCCACGAAAUUUGACAAUUCAGGAUCGUACGAAGUUCGUUCUGAAAUGGGGUGGUUGUUGUAUUGUAUAAUUCUGGAGAUUGGAUUUCACUCAAAACCCACCAAAUGACUCCUCCCACAAUAUUAUGAUGUUCCCCAAGUUUUGGACUCAAUCCGAUAUCGAUUGGUCCUCAAAAUCGGACAAUUCAGGUUCCUACGAAGUUCGUUCUGAAAUGGGGUGGUUUGUGUAUUGUAUAGUUCUGGGGAUUGGAUUUCACUCAAAACCCACCAAAUGACUCCUCCCACAAUAUUAUGAUGUUCCCCAAGUUUUGGACUCAAUCCGAUAUCGAUUGGUCCUCAAAAUCGGACAAUUCAGGUUCCUACGAAGUUCGUUCUGAAAUGGGGUGGUUGGUGUAUUGUAUAGUUCUGGAGAUUGGAUUUCACUCAAAACCCACCAAAUGACUCCUCCCACAAUAUUAUGAUGUUCCCCACGUUUUGGACUCAAUCCGAUAUCGAUCGGUCCACGAAAUUUGACAAUUCAAGAUCGUACGAAGUUCGUUCUGAAAUAGAGUGAUUGGUGUAUUGUAUAGUUCUACGGAUUGUAUUUCACUCAAAACAUACCAAAUGACUCCUCCCACAAUAUUAUGAUGUUCCCCAACUUUUGGACUCAAUCCGAUAUCGAUUGGUCCUUGAAAUCGGACAAUUCAGGUUCGUACGAAGUUCAUUCUGAAAUGGGGUGGUUGGUGUAUUGUAUAGUUCUAGAGAGUGGAUUUCACUCAAAACCCGCCAAUUGACUUCUCCCGGAAUAUUAUGAUGUGCCCCAAGUUUUGGACUCAAUCCGAUAUCGAUUGGUCCUUGAAAUCUGACAAUUCAGGUUCGUACGAAGUUCGUUCUGAAAUGGGGUGGUUGGUGUUUUGUAUAGUUCUAGAGAUUGGAUUUCACUCAAAACUGCCAAUUGACUCCUCCCGGGAAUAUUAUGAUGCUCCCCAACUUUUGGACUUAAUCCGAUAUCGAUUGGUCCUGAAAUCGGACAAUUCAGGUUCCUACGAAGUUCGUUCUGAAAUGGGGUGGUUGGUCUAUUGUAUAGUUCUAGAGAUUGGAUUUCACUAAAAGCCCACCAAAUGACUCCUCCCACAAUAUUAUGAUGUUCCCCAAGUUUUGGACUCAAUCCGAUAUCUAUUGGUCCUUGAUAUCGGACAAUUCAGGUUCGUACGAAGUUCGUUCUGAAAUGGGGUGGUUGGUGUAUUGUAUAGUUCUGAAGAUUGGAUUUCACUCAAAACCCGCCAAAUGACUCCUCCCAGAAUAUUAUGAUGUUCCCAAACUUUUGGAUUCAAUCCGAUAUCGAUUGGUCCUUGAAAUCGGACAAUUCAGGUUCCUACGAGUUCGUUCUAAAAUGGGGUGGUUGGUGUAUUGUAUAGUUCUAGGGAUUGUAUUUCUCUCAAAACUUACCAAAUGACUCCUCCCACAAUAUUAUGAUGUUCCCCAAGCUUUGGACUCAAUCCGAUAUCUAUCGGUCCACGAAAUUUGACAAUUCAGGAUCGUACGAAGUUCGUUCUCAAAUGGAGUGGUUGGUGUAUUGUAUAGUUCUAGGGAUUGUAUUUCACUCAAAACCCACCAAAUGACUCCCCCCACAAUAUUAUGAUGUUCCCCAAGUUUUGGACUCAAUCCGAUAUCGAGUGGUCCACGAAAUUUGACAAUUCAGGUUCGUACGAAGUUCGACGAAAUGGGGUGGUUGGUGUACUGUAUAGUUCUAGAGACUGGAUUUCACUCAAAACCCCGCCAAAAGACUUCCUCCCGGAUAUUAUGAUGUUCCCCCACUUUUGGACUCAAUCAUAUAUCGAUGGGACCUUGAAAUCUGACAAUUCAAGGUUCCUAAGAAGUUCGUUCCGAAAAGGGGUGGUUGGUGUAUUGUAUAGUUCUAGAGAUUGGAUUUCACUCAAAACCCACCAAAUGACUCCUCCCACAGUAUUAUGAUGUUCCCCACGUUUUGGACUCAAUCAGAUAUCGAUCGGUCCACAAAAUUUGACAAUUCAGGGUCGUACGAAGUUCGUUCGGAAAUGGAGUUGUUGGUGUAUUGUAUAGUUCUAGGGAUUGCAUUUCACUCAAAGCCCACCAAAUGCCUCUUUCCCACAAUAUUAUGUUGUUCCCCAAGUUUUGGACUCAAUCCGAUAUCGAUUGGUCCUUGAAAUCGGACAAUUCAGGUUCGUACGAAGUUCGUUCUGAAAUGGGGUGAUUAGUGUAUUAAAUAGUUCUAGAGAUUGGAUUUCACUCAAAACCCACCAAAUGACUCCUCCCACAAUAUUAUGAUGUUCCCCAAGUUUUGGACUCAAUCCGAUAUCGAUUGGUCCUUGAAAUCGGACAAUUCAGGUUCGUACAAAGUUCGUUCUGAAAUGGGGUGGUUGGUGUAUUGUAUAGUUCUAGGGAUUGUAUUUCACUCAAAACCCACCAAAUGACUCCUCCCACAAUAUUAUGAUGUUCCCCAAGUUUUGGACUCAAUCCGAUAUCGAUUGGUCCUUGAAAUCGGACAAUUCAGGUUCGUACGAAGUUCGUUCAUAAAUGGGGUGGUUGGUGUAUUGUAUAGUUCUAGGGAUUGGAUUUCACUCAAAACCAACCAAAUGACUCCUCCCAAAAUAUUAUGAUGUUACCCAAGUUUUGGACUCAAU
rnacentral:lncRNA from 1 species